rnacentral:snRNA from 1 species
GGAUGGGAGGACAAUCUGGCUGUGAUGUCUGUCACCCCUUUGAUGGCAGGACUGACUUAGCUGAUCUGACUGGCCAGGUGGGUGUCUCCUUCCUCCUCACCAUCCCCUGUGCUCCCCUCCAGCAGCUGAGUGAGGCUCAAUUGAAGACAAUGACCUUCUCACACAGGAAGACCGUCCUUGGACGUAGGGUACACAAGUAGCUUAGCUCCCCUGCUAGAACCCCCAAAUACGCUCUCAAGAAUCUUGCCAACAAAACUCACACCAAUCCAUGUUCUUCUGCAGUUACCACUGAGUGCCAGUGACUACAUUC